rnacentral:rRNA from 1 species
UACAGAGGUCCCGAGCGUUGUUCGGAUUCAUUGGGCGUAAAGGGUGCGUAGGCGGUCUGCUAAGUUUGAUGUGAAAUCCCGGGGCUCAACCCUGGAAUUGCAUUGAAUACUGGCGGACUAGAGUACUGGAGAGGAAACUGGAAUUUACGGUGUAGCAGUGAAAUGCGUAGAGAUCGUAAGGAAGACCAGUGGCGAAGGCGAGUUUCUGGACAGUAACUGACGCUGAGGCACGAAGGCCAGGGGGAGCAAACGGG